UACGUAGGGGGCAAGCGUUGUCCGGAAUCAUUGGGCGUAAAGAGCGUGUAGGCGGCCUGGCAAGUCUCGCGUGAAAUCUUGCGGCUCAACCGCAAGCGGUCGUGAGAAACUGCCUGGCUAGAAUCCGGAAGAGGAGAGCGGAAUUCCUGGUGUAGCGGUGGAAUGCGCAGAUAUCAGGAAGAACACCCGUGGCGAAGGCGGCUCUCUGGGACGGUAUUGACGCUGAGACGCGAAAGCGUGGGGAGCGAACAGG
rnacentral:rRNA from 1 species